GUGGGGAAUUUUGGACAAUGGGCGCAAGCCUGACGCAGCCAUGCCGCGUGAAUGAUGAAGGUCUUAGGAUUGUAAAAUUCUUUCACCGGGGACGAUAAUGACGGUACCCGGAGAAGAAGCUCCGGCUAACUUCGUGCCAGCAGCCGCGGUAAUACGAAGGGGGCUAGCGUUGCUCGGAAUUACUGGGCGUAAAGGGCGCGUAGGCGGACAGCUUAGUCAGAGGUGAAAGCCCAGGGCUCAACCUUGGAAUUGCCUUUGAUACUGGCUGUCUUGAGUUUGGGAGAGGUGAGUGGAACUCCGAGUGUAGAGGUGAAAUUCGUAGAUAUUCGGAAGAACACCAGUGGCGAAGGCGACUCACUGGCCCAAUACUGACGCUGAGGCGCGAAAGCGUGGGGAGCAAACAGGAUUAGAUACCCUGGUAGUCC
rnacentral:rRNA from 1 species